rnacentral:rRNA from 1 species
GGUUCUGAAUGGAAGGGCCAUCGCUCAACGGAUAAAAGGUACUCCGGGGAUAACAGGCUGAUACCGCCCAAGAGUUCAUAUCGACGGCGGUGUUUGGCACCUCGAUGUCGGCUCAUCACAUCCUGGGGCUGAAGUAGGUCCCAAGGGUAUGGCUGUUCGCCAUUUAAAGUGGUACGCGAGCUGGGUUUAGAACGUCGUGAGACAGUUCGGUCCCUAUCUGCCGUGGGCGUUGGAAGAUUGAGAGGGGCUGCUCCUAGUACGAGAGGACCGGAGUGGACGAAUCACUGGUGUUCGGGUUGUCAUGCCAAUGGCAUUGCCCGGUAGCUAAAUUCGGAAGAGAUAACCGCUGAAAGCAUCUAAGCGGGAAACUUGCCUCGAGAUGAGUCUUCCCUGGGGCUUAAAGCCCCCUGAAGGAACGUUAAAGACUAUGACGUUGAUAGGCUGGG